AGAUUUCAAGUAUGUUAGCAGCAGUAAUUAGGGAUGUUUUCCUCUAAGGAAAAUUAUAGUUAUAAAAUUAUUAUUUGUUAGAAAUGAUUCCUGCUACUUCAAAUUAUUUAUCCUUAAAUGUAGAGGAUUAACAAUGAACAACUUGAAAUAACUUGGUUAUCACCUCAGAAGUUUAGUUUAUCACUGAUUUAAUGAAGAAGGGCAAGAAGAGGAAGGCUUUAUGAUAAUGAGGAGAAUGCCAGGUGAGCAAGUUGUCGCCGUAGGAAUCAGAAUGGACGUUAUCAUCCGUAGUGAGAAUGGCAAAUGGAUAAUCAACAUCAGCCCAAUUGCCAGACUAAAACAUCAUUAUGACAGACUUCUUUUGCAAGAAUUCUUAAAACGGAGAAGCUGAAGAAUAAA
rnacentral:sRNA from 1 species